rnacentral:rRNA from 1 species
AUUGAACGCUGGCGGCAUGCCUUACACAUGCAAGUCGAACGGUAACAGGUCUUCGGACGCUGACGAGUGGCGAACGGGUGAGUAAUACAUCGGAACGUGCCCAGUCGUGGGGGAUAACUACUCGAAAGAGUAGCUAAUACCGCAUACGAUCUGAGGAUGAAAGCGGGGGAUCUUCGGGCCUCGCGCGAUUGGAGCGGCCGAUGGCAGAUUAGGUAGUUGGUGGGAUAAAAGCUUACCAAGCCGACGAUCUGUAGCUGGUCUGAGAGGACGACCAGCCACACUGGGACUGAGACACGGCCCAGACUCCUACGGGAGGCAGCAGUGGGGAAUUUUGGACAAUGGGCGAAAGCCUGAUCCAGCAAUGCCGCGUGCAGGAUGAAGGCCUUCGGGUUGUAAACUGCUUUUGUACGGAACGAAAAAGCUCCUUCUAAUACAGGGGGCCCAUGACGGUACCGUAAGAAUAAGCACCGGCUAACUACGUGCCAGCAGCCGCGGUAAUACGUAGGGUGCGAGCGUUAAUCGGAAUUACUGGGCGUAAAGCGUGCGCAGGCGGUUAUGUAAGACAGAUGUGAAAUCCCCGGGCUCAACCUGGGAACUGCAUUUGUGACUGCAUGGCUAGAGUACGGUAGAGGGGGAUGGAAUUCCGCGUGUAGCAGUGAAAUGCGUAGAUAUGCGGAGGAACACCGAUGGCGAAGGCAAUCCCCUGGACCUGUACUGACGCUCAUGCUCGAAAGCGUGGGGAGCAAACA